rnacentral:rRNA from 1 species
AGCAGCCGCGGUAAUUCCAGCUCCAAUAGCGUAUAUUAAAGUUGUUGCAGUUAAAAAGCUCGUAGUUGAACUUCGGGAUUUGCCCAUUGGUCAGGCUUAACUGUCUGCACUGGUGUGACGAGUUCCUACCUUCUGAGGAAUCUCCAUGUCAUUCAGUUGGUGUGGGGGGAAAUCAGGACUGUUACUUUGAAAAAUUAGAGUGUUUAAAGCAGGCGUCCGUCUGAAUACAUUAGCAUGGAAUAAUAAAAUAGGACGGUUUGGUUCUAUUUUGUUGGUUUCUAGGAUCACCGUAAUGAUUAAUAGGGAUAGUUGGGGGCAUUAGUAUUCAAUUGUCAGAGGUGAAAAUUCUUGGAUUUAUUGAAGACUAACUACUGCGAAAGCAUUUGCCAAGGAUGUUUUCAUUAAUCAAGAACGAAAGUUAGGGGAUCGAAGACGAUCAGAUACCGUCGUAGUCUUAACCAUAAACUAUGCCGACUAGGGAUCGGACGAAGUUAAUUUUUAAUGACUCGUUCGGCACCUU